rnacentral:rRNA from 1 species
GACGAACGCUGGCGGCGUGGAUUAGGCAUGCAAGUCGAACGGUAGGAUCCUUUCGGGGAUCUGAGAGUGGCGAACGGGUGAGUAACACGUAGGUGAUCUACCCUCAAGACGGGGACAACCCAGGGAAACUUGGGCUAAUACCGGAUGUGAGCUAUCGCGAGAUAGUUUGAAAGGUGGCUUCGGCUGCCGCUUGAGGAUGAGCCUGCGUCCUAUUAGCUAGUUGGUGAGGUAACGGCUCACCGAGGCAGUGAUAGGUAGGCGGCCUUAACGGGUGGUCGCCCACACUGGGAUUGAGAUACGGCCCAGACUCCUACGGGAGGCAGCAGUCGAGAAUAGUCUACAAUGGUCGAAAGACUGAUAGUGCGACGCCGCGUGAACGAAGAAGCCCUUCGGGGUUAAAGUUCUUUUAUAUGUGAGCAGUGACACCAUAUUAAUAGUAUGGGUGUAGAGAUAUUAGCAUAUGAAUAAGCAACGGCUAACUCCGUGCCAGCAAGCC